rnacentral:rRNA from 1 species
GACGAACGCUGGCGGCGUGCCUAAUACAUGCAAGUCGAGCGAAGUUUUUCUGGUGCUUGCACUAGAAAAACUUAGCGGCGAACGGGUGAGUAACACGUAAAGAACCUGCCUCAUAGACUGGGACAACUAUUGGAAACGAUAGCUAAUACCGGAUAACAGUAUUUCUCGCAUGAGAGAUAUUUAAAAGUUGGUUAUGCUAACACUAUGAGAUGGCUUUGCGGUGCAUUAGCUAGUUGGUGGGGUAAAGGCCCACCAAGGCGACGAUGCAUAGCCGACCUGAGGGGGGGAUCGGCCACCCGGGGACUGACACCCGGCCCAGCCGCCUAGGGGGGGCAGGAGUGGGAAAUCUUCCGCAAGGGGCGAAAGCCUGACGGAGCAACGCCGGGGGAGUGAAGAAGGUUUUCGGUUCGUAAAGCUCUUUUGUUGGGAAAAAAUGGAUAUGUAGUAACUAUACUUGUAAGGGACGGUACCUACCCAAAAAGCCCCGGCUAACUCCGG